AGUGAACGCUGGCGGUAGGCCUAACACAUGCAAGUCGAACGGCAGCACAGUAAGAGCUUGCUCUUACGGGUGGCGAGUGGCGGACGGGUGAGGAAUACAUCGGAAUCUACUUUUUCGUGGGGGAUAACGUAGGGAAACUUACGCUAAUACCGCAUACGACCUACGGGUGAAAGCAGGGGAUCUUCGGACCUUGCGCGAUUGAAUGAGCCGAUGUCGGAUUAGCUAGUUGGCGGGGUAAAGGCCCACCAAGGCGACGAUCCGUAGCUGGUCUGAGAGGAUGAUCAGCCACACUGGAACUGAGACACGGUCCAGACUCAUACGGGAGGCAGCAGUGGGGAAUAUUGGACAAUGGGCGCAAGCCUGAUCCAGCCAUACCGCGUGGGUGAAGAAGGCCUUCGGGUUGUAAAGCCCUUUUGUUGGGAAAGAAAAGCAGCAGGUUAAUACCCCGCUGUUCUGACGGUACCCAAAGAAUAAGCACCGGCUAACUUCGUG
rnacentral:rRNA from 1 species